rnacentral:misc_RNA from 1 species
AAACAACUAUACCGAGUUCAUUAACUACCCGACUUACCAAGUCCAGAACAAUAUCAUCCCCAUGGGCAGAAUCAAUGAUGCCGGGAGACGGAUCCUUUGAGUCAAUUUUACCAUGGGUCUAUUUGAGAACCCUUAUGCUGACCUUAGCUUAGUGGUCCAAGUAGGAAAGAAGGAGCAUAGGGAUCUGACUAGGGAAGCAGUGAGAAAG